AUGCCGCCCGCGCAUCUGACGCCCUCGGCUACGCCAGAAGACAUCACCUGUCUGGUGCCUGCCGGCUCGGUCCUGACCUCAAGGGAUCCCUUGCCACCUAGCACUACCCCCGGCAGCCAAGCCAACAGCUCGCAGUCCGGCAGCUCGCAAACGGAUAAAUCACCGAACAUCGAGUGCGUCGUCUGCGGAGAUAAAAGCAGCGGCAAACAUUACGGACAAUUCACUUGCGAAGGAUGCAAGAGUUUUUUCAAGAGGAGUGUGAGGCGAAACCUAACGUACUCGUGUCGAGGGACUAGAAAUUGUCCGAUCGACCAACACCAUAGAAACCAGUGCCAGUUUUGCCGUUUGAAAAAGUGCCUGAAGAUGGGCAUGCGCCGGGAAGCUGUGCAAAGGGGGCGAGUGCCGCCGUCGCAACCUUCAUUGCCGGGUUUGCCGGGCCAAUUCGCCCUGACGAACGGGGACGCGGUCGCGUGUGCCAGCCUAAACGGACACUCUUACCUCUCGUCGUACAUAAGCUUGCUGCUGAGGGCGGAGCCCUAUCCAACCUCGAGAUACGGCCAAUGCAUGCAACCCAACAACAUCAUGGGCAUCGACAAUAUCUGCGAGCUCGCAGCGCGGCUGCUCUUCUCGGCAGUAGAGUGGGCUCGGAACAUCCCGUUCUUCCCGGAUCUUCAAGUGACGGACCAGGUGGCCCUGCUAAGGCUAGUGUGGAGCGAGCUGUUUGUCCUGAACGCGAGCCAAUGCUCAAUGCCCCUCCACGUGGCGCCGCUUCUAGCGGCGGCAGGUCUUCACGCCUCGCCGAUGGCAGCGGAUCGCGUGGUCGCCUUCAUGGAUCACAUCAGGAUCUUCCAGGAGCAAGUGGAGAAACUCAAGGCGCUUCACGUCGACUCCGCAGAGUACAGCUGCCUCAAGGCCAUCGUCCUCUUCACCACUGACGCCUGCGGACUCUCGGACGUGGCGCACAUCGAAUCCCUUCAGGAAAAAUCGCAGUGCGCCCUGGAGGAAUACUGUCGGACCCAAUACCCGAAUCAACCGACAAGGUUUGGCAAGCUGCUGCUGCGAUUACCGUCGUUACGCACAGUUUCGUCGCAGGUGAUCGAACAGCUCUUCUUCGUGCGGCUAGUAGGCAAGACGCCGAUCGAGACGCUCAUCAGGGACAUGUUGCUGAGCGGCAACAGCUUCAACUGGCCCUACAUAUCCACGAUGUGACACUCUGUCUGGCGGCAGCUAGCUUCCGCAUAAUAUUAUACCUCGAACAGCGAUGUCGCGGCGCCUGAUAAUGACCCGCGAACUCGAUUCGCGUAAGAGUAGAAAAGAAUCGGGCGCGGCGAGGGUGGGCGACACCGCGAAUCUCGAAUAUACUUGAUACGAAGGGCGAGGACGGCGAACAAUAGGGCGCGAUAUCGAUCUUGUUUGUCUCAAGAUCUCGAGGUCGAAGAUCAACGCAUCAUUCUUGUCAACGUCGUCAUUAACCCAUUUACGUAUCCGCGUUGCUCUUAGCGCCGUGACGCGACAAUAUUCUUUGUCAUUGAUACUUAUUGUACUCGCGUUUUGCUAGACCUGUACGGUACUCACGACGAAUCAAAAUAUCUCAAUCAGAAUUUGAAGACUUUUGUACCCUGAGCAGAGACGCAACUUGAUAUCAGAAAGAGAAAAAGAACGCAAAAAAAGAAGAAAAGGAUUAGAUAGCGAGAUUUAAGUAAAAUCAUUAAUAAAAUUCGACCGAAGGUAAUAAGAUAAUACGCGCAAAGUGGUGAGAAAGAUGCUUGCGAUAAGGGAGAUCAUCAGAAGAGAAGAAUUUUUGAUGACAUGCAGAGAUAAGCGAAAGAGAAAGAAGUAAAGAGAAAGGAAAAGAAAACAAGGAGAAAAAUAUAAUAAAGACGUUGCUCAUUCAGAAAAUCGCGGAGGCGCCGAGCGGCCCGACAGCGUCCAAGAACAUCCACUGGGCGUUAAAACUUAGUACUCACUAAAAUGGUCAAGUGAAAGAGAGGAGAGGUUUAUGCGUGUGUGCAUGAGUAAAAGUGUGAGAGGAAGCAAAUAAACAAGAAUGAGAGAGGGAGAGAGAGAGAGAGAGAGAGAGAGAGAGAGAGAGAGAGAGAGAGAGAGAUUGAAAGAGAUAUAGAGGUUUGGGGGAGGGGGAAUAGAUAGAUAGAUAAGCGUUUUGUUAUAUGGUAAAGAAUGAAAUAACGGAGAGGGUGGAAGGAAGAGGAAGACGAGCGUGGCGUGAAGAAGUCAUAAAUUAGCAUUUAUAAUCAACGAUGAGGGGGAGAGAGAGCUGGUGGAUCUCCCAUCGCUAUCUCGAAUCAAUCUUCGCGUCGAGUACUCGCUAUUAGUCGAGUCAUGCCAUGGGCCUUAGUCAUUCGUCUUGACGCCUCCUCUACGAGGCUUACGUUCUCCAAGUUCAUAGCCCGUGAAACAUUCUUUUGGAAAUAUCCCUUUCGGUCGGAUGACGCUCGCGCCUGCACGCACAUCGCAGAUCUAAAUCCCACGACGUUGCUUUCGUCGAAGUCGUCUGUGAUCCUCGAGGAUUAUUGAUGUACUUAGAUAGAAGCUAAGAGAAUCGGGCAUCAUCGGAACACCUGGUAAUUUAGUGCGAGUCGACUUUACUAAUAUAAAAAGAAAUUGUUGUAAGUAGAAUAUAAAGUGCAAAGCGCCUUUUACGGCGUAAAAUCACGAAGGAAACUUAUGAGCUCGCACGUAAUAAAUUUAUCUCCUUCGCAUUCGUGCGGUGGUAUUUUUAACAGCAACAUUUUUGCGUUUAGCGUGUUUACCUGUAUUGUCGUACUAGAAUUACAGCGGCAAUUUCGAUGUUUCAUCUGACGCGACGACGAUCGUCUUCGAGAAAAGCCUCGAGGAAGAAAAGCAGCGAGCGGCGAAACUCCACAUGUGACGUUCAACUUGGAUGACAAUACCGUGCGAUAUCAUAUAUACAGCCAAUAUUAUGUAUCUUGUAAAUACGAUAUUUUUACCUUGAGUUACUUAAGAGCGUACGUGACGAGACUACUCGAGAGUGCGAUGCAACGUCUUCUUUGUAUGCAACGUCUUUUUGUGUGCCAUUGCGCGUCACAUCAUCGCGUCACGAUUAAUUCCGCGGCAAUCACGGGAUCGGUCGACUGAUCAAUUGAUAGGAAUACUCGGGAUGACAGCUGACUCGAGAUGAUGAUUCCGGGACGAGAUGUCCGGAGAAAUCACGCUGCGUAAAGUAAGUCGCGUUAUCUUGCAUUGACAAGGGAAUUUCACGAACCUGGAAAUUCACGUACCUUCGGAUUUUAUUAAAAUUUUGAAUAUAUUAUGUAGAUAAAAAUUAGAUGAAUUUGGAAAUUUUUCUGUUAAAAAACAGGGGUAAAAUGAUCUUCUCUAUA